rnacentral:miRNA from 1 species
UGUGUGUAUAUAUAUAUAUACAUAUAUAUACAUGUAUAUAUACAUAUAUAUACAUAUAUAUACAUAUAUACACAUAUAUACAUAUAUACACAUAUAUAUACACAUAUAUAUACAUA